AGCGAACGCUGGCGGCAGGCCUAACACAUGCAAGUCGAACGAACCCUUCGGGGUUAGUGGCGGACGGGUGAGUAACACGUGGGAACGUGCCUUUAGGUUCGGAAUAACUCAGGGAAACUUGUGCUAAUACCGAAUGUGCCCUUCGGGGGAAAGAUUUAUCGUCUUUAGAGCGGCCCGCGUCUGAUUAGCUAGUUGGUGAGGUAAUGGCUCACCAAGGCCACGAUCAGUAGCUGGUCUGAGAGGAUGACCAGCCACAUUGGGACUGAGACACGGCCCAAACUCCUACGGGAGGCAGCAGUGGGGAAUCUUGCGCAAUGGGCGAAAGCCUGACGCAGCCAUGCCGCGUGGAUGAUGAAGGUCUUAGGAUUGUAAAAUCCUUUCACCGGUGAAGAUAAUGACUGUAGCCGGAGAAGAAGCCCCGGCUAACUUCGUGCCAGCCGCCGCCGUAAGAC
rnacentral:rRNA from 1 species